rnacentral:rRNA from 1 species
GAUGAACGCUGGCGGCGUGCCUAAUACAUGCAAGUCGAACGAAACUUCUUUAUCACCGAGUGCUUGCACUCACCGAUAAAGAGUUGAGUGGCGAACGGGUGAGUAACACGUGGGCAACCUGCCCAAAAGAGGGGGAUAACACUUGGAAACAGGUGCUAAUACCGCAUAACCAUAGUUACCGCAUGGUAACUAUGUAAAAGGUGGCUAUACUACCGCUUUUGGAUGGGCCCGCGGCGCAUUAGCUAGUUGGUAGGGUAAAGGCUUACCAAGGCAAUGAUGCGUAGCCGAAUUGAGAGGUUGAUCGGCCACAUUGGGACUGAGACACGGCCCAAACUCCUACGGGAGGCAGCAGUAGGGAAUCUUCCACAAUGGGCGAAAGCCUGAUGGAGCAACGCCGCGUGGGUGAAGAAGGUCUUCGGACCGUAAAACCCUGUUGUUAGAGAAGAAAGUGCGUGAGAGUAACUGUUCACGUUUCGACGGUAUCUAACCAGAAAGCCACGGCUAACUACGUG